rnacentral:rRNA from 1 species
UACGUAGGGCGCAAGCGUUGUCCGGAAUCAUUGGGCGUAAAGCGAGCGCAGGUGGCUUUGUAAGUCAGAAGUGAAAGCCCAGGGCUUAACCCUGGAAGUGCUUUUGAUACUGCAAAGCUUGAAUGUGGGAGAGGAUGCUAGAAUUCCUGGUGUAGUGGUGAAAUACGUAGAGAUCAGGAGGAACUCCGGUGGCGAAGGCGGGCAUCUGGCCCAACAUUGACACUUAGGCUCGAAAGCGUGGGGAUCAAACAGG